rnacentral:rRNA from 1 species
GCCUGAUCCAGCCAUGCCGCGUGGGUGAAGAAGGCCUUCGGGUUGUAAAGCCCUUUUGUUGGGAAAGAAAUCCUGUCGGUUAAUACCCGGCGGGGAUGACGGUACCCAAAGAAUAAGCACCGGCUAACUUCGUGCCAGCAGCCGCGGUAAUACGAAGGGUGCAAGCGUUACUCGGAAUUACUGGGCGUAAAGCGUGCGUAGGCGGUUCGUUAAGUCUGUCGUGAAAGCCCUGGGCUCAACCUGGGAAUUGCGAUGGAUACUGGCGGGCUAGAGUACGGUAGAGGAUGGUGGAAUUCCCGGUGUAGCGGUGAAAUGCGUAGAGAUCGGGAGGAACACCCGUGGCGAAGGCGGCCAUCUGGACCAGUACUGACGCUGAGGCACGAAAGCGUGGGGAGCAAACAGGAUUAGAUACCCUGGUAGUCCACGCCCUAAACGAUGCGAACUGGAUGUUGGGCACACUUAGGUGCUCAGUGUCCAAGCUAACGCGUUAAGUCGCCGCCUGG